CCAGACUCCUACGGGAGGCAGCAGUGAGGAAUAUUGGUCAAUGGCCGAGAGGCUGAACCAGCCAAGUCGCGUGAGGGAAGACGGCCCUACGGGUUGUAAACCUCUUUUGUCGGGGAGCAAAGAGAGUCACGUGUGACUCAUUGAGAGUACCCGAAGAAAAAGCAUCGGCUAACUCCGUGCCAGCAGCCGCGGUAAUACGGAGGAUGCGAGCGUUAUCCGGAUUUAUUGGGUUUAAAGGGUGCGUAGGCGGACGCUUAAGUCAGCGGUAAAAAUUCGGGGCUCAACCCCGUCCGGCCGUUGAAACUGGGGGCCUUGAGUGGGCGAGAAGUAUGCGGAAUGCGUGGUGUAGCGGUGAAAUGCAUAGAUAUCACGCAGGACCCCGAUUGCGAAGGCAGCAUACCGGCGCCCUACUGACGCUGAGGCACGAAAGUGCGGGUAUCGAACAGGAUUAGAUACCCUAGUA
rnacentral:rRNA from 1 species